AUACGCGACGCGGGAGAGCCGACUCCGUCGGCACCGAAGGAGCAAGCCUCCCCGCCAAUCUCUCAGGUCUUGUACCGCGUCGAACUG
rnacentral:ncRNA from 2 species